CAGGGAGCAGGAAGAUGGAGCGAAAGUGCCAUCAAUGGAGGUGUUCAAGGACAUUGUUGAGGAGUUAGAAAAUGGGAGAGAGAAUUCUAACGGUGCGGAGCAGGAAUUCAUAGGUGGGGCGGGAAGAUUUUUUUCCUCAUGAAGAUUGCAGAGAAACUGAAGACUUUUGUUUUCUCUCUUCCUGUUGCAACUUGAACGUAGCCCUCACCUACCUCCACAGUAGACAGUUUUGAAGCUUUUUCACGCGUCAAUCGUAUUGUUGUGCUUUGUGGAGAACAUAACCCAACCAACCCCAAGUCAGCAAACCCAAGAGGAGAACUUGGGAGGCAGUGAUUUUGCUGCCUUUUGACGUCUUUUGCGGUAAAUUUGCCUUUUGGAUUAUGUACAUGAGGCUUUAAACUGUUCAUCACGUGUGUACAUGCUUCAUGCUCUUACUAUGCUGUAAAUGAGGAGUUUUAACUGUUAUUAUGGUUGU